rnacentral:rRNA from 1 species
UUCCGGUUGAUCCUGCCGGAGGCGACCGCUAUUGGAAUUCGAUUAAGCCAUGCGAGUCGAGAGUCUUAGGGACUCGGCGUACCGCUCAGUAACACGUGGGUAACCUGCCCUAUGCUGGGGAAUAACCUCGGGAAACUGAGAAUAAUGCCCCAUAGUUCACCACGCCUGGAACGGUGGGUGGAUGAAAGCUCCGGCGGCAUAGGAUGGGCCUGCGGCGUAUCAGGUCGUAGGGGGUGUAAUGUACCCUCUAGCCAUCGACGCGUACGGGUGUUGGGAGACAUUGCCCGGAGAUGGAUUCUGAGACACGAAUCCAGACCCUACGGGGUGCAGCAGGCGCGAAAACUUGGCAAUGCGAGCAAUCGUGACCAGGGAACUCCAAGUGCUUGGGGUAAGACCCAAGCUUUUCUUGACUCUUCAAAGGUCUUGGAAUAAGGGGUGGGUAAGGACGGUGCCAGCCGCCGCGGUAAUACCGGCGCCUCAAGUGGUAGUCGCUUUUAUUGGGCCUAAAACGUCCGUAGCCGGUCUGGUGCAUUCGUGGGUAAAUCAACCCGCUCAACGGGUUGAAUUCUGCGAGCACGGCCAGACUUGGGACCGGGAGAGGUGUGGGGUACUCUCGGGGUAGGGGUAAAAUCCUGUCAUCCCGAGAGGACCACCUGUUGCGAAGGCGCCACACUAGAACGGAUCCGACGGUCAGGGACGAAACCUAGGGGCACGAACCGGAUUAGAUACCCGGGUAGUCCUAGGUGUAAACGCUGUGGACUUGAUGUUGGGGGCGCUCCGAGCGCUUUCAGUGUCGAAGCGAAGGUGAUAAGUCCACUGCCUGGGGAGUACGGUCGCAAGGCUGAAACUUAAAGGAAUUGGCGGGGGAGCACUGCAACCUGAGGAUUGUGCGGUUUAAUUGGAUUCAACGCCGG